UUACAGAACCAAGCACAGAGGACUCAGACAAAAGGUUUCUUUUCCACUUCUUGUAGCAAACUUGCCAAAGUUACCUAGCUAAUCAGUGUUAGGGGACUUUUAACCACCAAGCCGUGAACUUCUUGCACAGGCUCAGCAUGCUGAAAAGCCUAUCGAAUGGAAAUCAACAAUGUUUUAGAUCAAAGCUGUUCCAUUUUCCUGGAUCCUAGUGGGGAGCUAACAUGGCGCAGAGCCACAGCCAAUCCAAGGACAUGUGAAUCCUAGAAAAGAGGAGUUCCUCCAAGGCCCUGGAAUCAGAAACUUGGAUUGCCAGGUGAAGGAAACUAGGUUUUGCUUCAUCUGGGUGGUUGGCCAGGAUCCUGAGUGAGAGCCAUGGAUACCUAGUUGCUUUCCAGCUUGGACCUGCCCUCAGUGUUCUUCACUCCACACAACACAGCUGACCCAGACAUCAUGUGCAGGAGGUACCUCCUGACAGCAGGCUUGACACCAGCUACUGUCCAGCUCCCCAGUAAACCAGAUUCCCUCAUUGCUCCUAAUGGGGUCUAGACUGCAGGAGGAGGAAGCAGGUGGGCAAUGUCCAGAUUUCCAUGAUGACCCUCUGAGGAGAUAUCCGUGGCUAGGUUACUGCACGACUACAGCAUCACAGAGGAGACUCCAGAACUCAAACUACCAAGAGCACCCCUCCAUCAGCUUUGUUUCCUAACUCCUGGCCUGCCUCCUUUCUUGUGGCGCCAUCUCACAGCCAAAUGACAACAAGCCCUCUCUGUCCCUCACAGAAUGCCUGUGAUAAAAAGUUCCCUUUGCAGCCAGACCAGCUGAGACUGGUACAUAGAACCAAGACAGCUGACCAAAGGACUUCAAAAAGACCUCAGUCUUCAUGAUAAUCUUAUUUCCAUGCUAAAUGAUACUCCCUCCAGCACCACGACAGUUGACAAUUGCCAUGACAAUGACUGGAAGAAGCCGUAAAAGGACUAAAAGGGAGGCGGUACUACUGAUUCCAGGAGGUUCACCACCCACUUCUGGAAAAGACAUGAAUAUUCUUCCCUUUUCUUUUAAUGUCACCUCCUUCAUUAGAGAAAUCCUGUAUCUUAAGCCCCUCACCCUCACUUGUUGAGAA
rnacentral:lncRNA from 1 species